AUUGAGUACCGGUACUCAGUAAGUUGGUACCGGUACUCCAUGACGGAACAGAAAAUUCCUGAGGCCGAGUACCAGUACCAGACCAAUGCAGUACCGGUACGCAAUCAAUUCAGUACUGCAGUACCGUUACCCGGCCAAUGCAGUACCGGUACCCGGCCAAUGCAGUACCGUUACUCAAUGCAAUUUCCAGAAUUGCAUCUCUCAG
rnacentral:lncRNA from 1 species